rnacentral:rRNA from 1 species
AGUGAACGCUGGCGGUAGGCCUAACACAUGCAAGUCGAACGGCAGCACAGUAAGAGCUUGCUCUUACGGGUGGCGAGUGGCGGACGGGUGAGGAAUACAUCGGAAUCUACUUUUUCGUGGGGGAUAACGUAGGGAAACUUACGCUAAUACCGCAUACGACCUACGGGUUAAAGCAUGGGAUCUUCGGACCUUGCGCGAUUGAAUGAGCCGAUUUCGGAUUAGCUAGUUGGCGGGGUAAAGGCCCACCACGGCGACGAUCCGUAGCUGGUCUGAGAGGAUGAUCAGCCACACUGGAACUGAGACACGGGCCAGACUCCUACGGGAGGCAGCAGUGGGGAAUAUUGGAAAAUGGGCGCAAGCCUGAUCCAGCCAUACCGCGUGGGUGAAGAAGGCCUUCGGGUUGUAAAGCCCUUUUGUUGGGAAAGAAAAGCAGCAGGUUAAUACCCCGCUGUUCUGACGGUACCCAAAGAAUAAGCACCGGCUAACUUCGUG